rnacentral:rRNA from 1 species
AGUGUAGGUGGCUCAUUAAGUCACAUGUGAAAUCCCCGGGCUCAACCUGGGAACUGCAUGUGAUACUGGUGGUGCUAGAAUAUGUGAGAGGGAAGCAGAAUUCCAGGUGUAGCGGUGAAAUGCGUAGAGAUCUGGAGGAAUACCGAUGGCGAAGGCAGCUUCCUGGCAUAAUAUUGACACUGAGAUUCGAAAGCGUGGGUAGCAAACA